GGGAGUGUUUUCCGGCUGGUGCCGGGCGCGGUCUUCAAAACCGUCGGGCGGCGUGGCGACACGUCGCCGGUGGGUUCGAUUCCCAUCCGCUCCC
rnacentral:tRNA from 1 species